rnacentral:rRNA from 1 species
CGCGUAGGCGGACAGCUAAGUCAGGGGUGAAAUCCCGAGGCUCAACCUCGGAAUUGCCCUUGAUACUGGUUGUCUUGAGAUCGGAAGAGGUAAGUGGAAUUGCGAGUGUAGAGGUGAAAUUCGUAGAUAUUCGCAAGAACACCAGUGGCGAAGGCGGCUCACUGGGCCAUUACUGACGCUGAGGCACGAAAGCGUGGGGAGCAAACA